rnacentral:rRNA from 1 species
GAGUUUGAUCAUGGCUCAGAUUGAACGCUGGCGGCAUGCCUUACACAUGCAAGUCGAACGGCAGCAUGAUCUAGCUUGCUAGAUUGAUGGCGAGUGGCGAACGGGUGAGUAAUACAUCGGAACGUGCCCUGUAGUGGGGGAUAACUAGUCGAAAGAUUAGCUAAUACCGCAUACGACCUGAGGGUGAAAGUGGGGGACCGCAAGGCCUCAUGCUAUAGGAGCGGCCGAUGUCUGAUUAGCUAGUUGGUGGGGUAAAGGCCCACCAAGGCGACGAUCAGUAGCUGGUCUGAGAGGACGAUCAGCCACACUGGGACUGAGACACGGCCCAGACUCCUACGGGAGGCAGCAGUGGGGAAUUUUGGACAAUGGGCGAAAGCCUGAUCCAGCAAUGCCGCGUGUGUGAAGAAGGCCUUCGGGUUGUAAAGCACUUUUGUCCGGAAAGAAAUGGCUCUGGUUAAUACCUGGGGUCGAUGACGGUACCGGAAGAAUAAGGACCGGCUAACUACGUGCCAGCAGCCGCGGUAAUACGUAGGGUCCAAGCGUUAAUCKGAAUUACUGGGCGUAAAGCGUGCGCAGGCGGUUGUGCAWGACCGAUGUGAAAUCYCCGAGCUUAACUUGAGAAUUGYAUUGGUGACUGCACGGGYUAGAGUGUGUYAGAG